rnacentral:piRNA from 1 species
CAACACAUUACAGUACAUGUGAUGUGAAA